GCUGGGCGAGAUGGCACACGCCCCUAGUCCCAGCUACUUGGGAGGCUGCUAUGGGAGGAUCACUUGAGCCCAAGAAUUUGGAACCAGCCUGGGCAGCACAGUGAGCCCUACCUCUU
rnacentral:sRNA from 1 species